CAAUAGCGUAUACUAAAGUUGUUGCAGUUAAAAAGCUCGUAGUUGACUUUCUGGUCGUGGGCUUCGGUCCGUCCCUCACGGGAUGUGUUACUGGAGUUCUGCAGCCAUCUUCGGGGCGUUUUCAUGCCUGGGAUUUACUUCUCGGGUAUGGGGAUCCUCGUCAUUUACUGUGAGUAAAAUAGAGUGUUCAAAGCAGGCUGUAAGCCGUUGAAUAUAUUAGCAUGGAAUAAUAAGAUAAGACUUUGGUCUAUUUUGUUGGUUUGUGUCCAAAGAAAUGAGCAAUAGGGACAGUUGGGGGUAUUCGUAUUCAAUUGUCAGAGGUGAAAUUCUUGGAUUUAUGGAAGACGAACUACUGCGAAAGCAUUUACCAAGGAUGUUUUCAUUAAUCAAGAACGAAAGUUAGGGGAU
rnacentral:rRNA from 1 species